rnacentral:rRNA from 1 species
GACGUAGGGUGCGAGCGUUGUCCGGAUUUAUUGGGCGUAAAGAGCUCGUAGGCGGCUCGUCGCGUCUGCCGUGAAAACCCGCAGCUCAACUGCGGGCUUGCGGUUGAUACGGGCGGGGCUGGAGUUCGGUAGGGGAGACUGGAAUUCCUGGUGUAGCGGUGAAAUGCGCAGAUAUCAGGGAGGAACACCGGCUGGGCGGAAAGG